UUAAAACACCAGUUCUUGUACAAUCACUGAAGUUAAACAACAUUGAGCCUGGUCAGUACCUGAAUGGGUGACUGCUUGAGAAUACCAGGUGGUGUAG